GAUGAACGCUGGCGGCGUGCCUAAUACAUGCAAGUAGAACGCUGAAGCUUGGUGCUUGCACCGAGCGGAUGAGUUGCGAACGGGUGAGUAACGCGUAGGUAACCUGCCUCUUAGCGGGGGAUAACUAUUGGAAACGAUAGCUAAUACCGCAUAAAAGUCGAUAUCGCAUGAUAUUGAUUUGAAAGGUGCAAAUGCAUCACUAAGAGAUGGACCUGCGUUGUAUUAGCUAGUUGGUGAGGUAACGGCUCACCAAGGCGACGAUACAUAGCCGACCUGGGAGGGUGAUCGGCCACACUGGGACUGAGACACGGCCCAGACUCCUACGGGAGGCAGCAGUAGGGAAUCUUCGGCAAUGGGGGCAACCCUGACCGAGCAACGCCGCGUGAGUGAAGAAGGUUUUCGGAUCGUAAAGCUCUGUUGUAAGAGAAGAACGAGUGUGAGAGUGGAAAGUUCACACUGUGACGGUAACUUACCAGAAAGGGACGGCUAACUACGUG
rnacentral:rRNA from 1 species